CCUACGGGUGGCAGCAGUGAGGAAUAUUGCUCAAUGGUGGGGACACUGAUGCAGCCACGCCGCGUGAGUGAGGAAGUAAUUGGGUAUGUAAAACUCUAUCAGCAAGGAAGAAAAUGCCGGUACCUGAGUCAGGAUCCCCGUCUCACUACGUACCACCAGCCACAGUAAUACGGAAGCGGCAGGCGUUAUCCGGAUUUUCUGGGUGUAAAGGGGGCGUAUGCGGCACUGAAAGUCUGGAGUGAAAGGCGGGGGGUCAACCCCCGGCCUGCUCUUGAAACUGUCCGGCUGGAGUGUGGGAGAGGUAAGUGGAAUUCCCAGUGUAGCGGUGAAAUGCGUAGAUAUUAGGAGGAACACCAGUGGCGAAGGCGGCUUACUGG
rnacentral:rRNA from 1 species